GUCACGGAAUUCAGAGACAUUAAAUAAAAUUGCUACGAUACAAAGAAGAUUAGCGUGAACCUUACGCAAGGAUAAUAUGCACAAAUCGAAACAUGAUCCAAAUUUUU
rfam:Vitis vinifera, whole genome shotgun sequence of line PN40024, unoriented chromosome 19, chr19